ensembl:lncRNA
UGUCACACACUUGGUUUGUUUGUUUAGUGGACUGGUAAGACGUCUGAGCUGUAGCAUGUGUUUGGAUUUGUUGUCUUGUCUUUUUGGAGUCUGACUCAUCGAGUCUCUCUGUAAAGGAAGCAGUAUCCUGAGCUGCACUGCUGCUCCUCUCGAAACAUUCCACUGUUUCCUGAAGAAACGUCAUCAGCCUAACAGACUACUGACGAUCACAAUCACUGUUUGCUUGUACGGUUACAGUCGUGCUGCUGACAUUCACACUGAGGAUGAAGAUACAUAAGAAGCACCUGGACAAAUUAACAGUAUAGUGUCAUGGAUACACCAGGCUUCUCGUCACACAUA